UACAGGGGGAUAACUAUUGGAAACGAUAGAUAAGACCGCAUAGGUGUGAUAACCGCAUGGAGAUGACAUGAAAUAUGCUACGGAUAGGUAGAGGAUGGACUUAUGGCGCAUUAGCUAGUUGGAGGGGUAAACGGCCCACUAAGGCGACGAUGCGUAGCCGACCUGAGAGGGUGACCGGCCACACUGGGACUGAGACACGGCCUAGACUC
rnacentral:rRNA from 1 species